rnacentral:rRNA from 1 species
GCAUAACGCGAAGAACCUUACCUGGGUUUGACAUCCCGCGAAUCCCUAUGAAAAUAGGGAGUGCCCUUCGGGGAGCGCGGAGACAGGUGCUGCAUGGCUGUCGUCAGCUCGUGCCGUGAGGUGUUGGGUUAAGUCCCGCAACGAGCGCAACCCUUGUUGCCAGUUGCUACCAGGUAAUGCUGGGCACUCUGGCGAGACUGCCCGGGUCAACCGGGAGGAAGGUGGGGACGACGUCAAGUCAUCAUGGCCCUUACAUCCAGGGCUACACACGUACUACAAUGGCAGGUACAAAGGGUUGCCAAGCCGCGAGGCCGCGCUAAUCCCAGAAAGCCUGUCUCAGUCCGGAUUGCAGUCUGCAACUCGACUGCAUGAAGCUGGAAUCGCUAGUAAUCCCGGAUCAGCAUGCCGGGGUGAAUACGUUCCCGGGUCUUGUACACACCG